rnacentral:rRNA from 1 species
CACGUAGGGGGCAAGCGUUGUCCGGAUUUAUUGGGCGUAAAGAGCUCGUAGGCGGUUCGGUAAGUUGGGUGUGAAACCUCCAGGCUCAACCUGGAGACGCCACCCGAUACUGCUGUGACUAGAGUCCGGUAGGGGAGCGUGGAAUUCCUGGUGUAGCGGUGAAAUGCGCAGAUAUCAGGAGGAACACCGGUGGCGAAGGCGGGUCUCUGGGCAGUAACUGACGCUGAGGAGCGAAAGCGUGGGGAGCAAACAGG